rfam:Triticum urartu cultivar G1812 contig843359, whole genome shotgun sequence.
GUUGUACUCCCUCCGUCCCGAAUUACUUGUUGCACGUAUGGAUGUAUCUAGAUGUGUAUUUUAGUUCUAGAUACAUCCAUUUCAGGGACAAGUAAUUUGGGACGGAGGGAGUAUAUG